rnacentral:rRNA from 1 species
GACGAACGCUGGCGGCGUGCCUAACACAUGCAAGUCGAGCGGAGAUAAGCGGAUGGUAACUGAAGUUUGUCUUAGCGGCGGACGGGUGAGUAACACGUGGGCAACCUGCCUUGGAGUGGGGGAUAACACCGGGAAAUCGGUGCUAAUACCGCAUAACAUACACAUACUGCAUGGUGAGUGUAUCAAAGGAGCAAUCCGCUUUAAGAUGGGCCCGCGGCUGAUUAGCUAGUUGGUAAGGUAACGGCUUACCAAGGCGACGAUCAGUAGCCGACCUGAGAGGGUGACCGGCCACACUGGAACUGAGACACGGUCCAGACUCCUACGGGAGGCAGCAGUGGGGAAUAUUGCGCAAUGGGGGAAACCCUGACGCAGCAACGCCGCGUGGAGGAAGAAGGUCUUCGGAUUGUAAACUCCUGUCUUCUGGGACGAAGUAUGACGGUACCAGAGGAGGAAGCCACGGCUAACUACGUGCCAGCAGCCGCGGUGAAAGUGUGUGUA